rnacentral:misc_RNA from 1 species
AAGUCGUAACAAGGUUUCCGUAGGUGAACCUGCGGAAGGAUCAUUAACACGUGAAGAAUACUCACGUUUUAUCAACCAAACGCGAACUUGUCAACAUAUUGGUAAGGAAGGCUGAGCAGAGAGUGAGCAUCGUACUCAUGCCCCACUCAGCUUUCAGUGCCAGUAUACCAUUCUUAUCAACGAUUGUAAUAACUUUUGGACUAAUUCUGUAUGUCUGUGCGACCUCGGAUUCCUGAACGGGCGACUGUUCGGUUGAGUCUGAUCUCAUGCAGCAUAUUUACACAAACUCGAAACAACUCUUAGCAACGGAUAUCUUGGUUCUC